UUUAAACACUUUAAUAUUUCCUAUAAGAUUAUACCCGGUACUCGUGGAGGCACUUUUACGGUAAUCGAAAAUCGAAAUCUGCCUAGUUCGAAUUUUUGUCUGUCGUCAACCAAUAUGUAUUAUCUUUCGAUCGGCAAGCAGUAGUUACGAUCGGAAGUUAUUCAGCUUGAGAUUUCAAUAUGAUUGUUUGUACCGAGUGCCGGGAAUCUAAUCUUAUGUGCUGAUGAACAAAAUAUAGACCACAUUUUUGGUUUAUGAUCCAG